rnacentral:rRNA from 1 species
CCAAAGAGGGGGACCUUCGGGCCUCUUGCCAUCGGAUGUGCCCAGAUGGGAUUAGCUAGUAGGUGGGGUAACGGCUCACCUAGGCGACGAUCCCUAGCUGGUCUGAGAGGAUGACCAGCCACACUGGAACUGAGACACGGUCCAGACUCCUACGGGAGGCAGCAUG